rnacentral:rRNA from 1 species
UACGUAGGGGGCUCGCGUUGUCCGGAAUCAUUGGGCGUAAAGAGCGUGUAGGCGGCCCGGUAAGUCCGCUGUGAAAGUCGGGGGUGAAAGCCCGAGGCUCAACCUCGGAACUGCCUUCGAUACUGCGGGUCUCGAGUCCGGGAGAGGUGAGUGGAAUUCCUAGUGUAGAGGUGAAAUUCGUAGAUAUUAGGAAGAACACCAGUGGCGAAGGCGGCUCACUGGCCCGGUACUGACGCUGAGGCGCGAAAGCGUGGGGAGCAAACAGG